UUCUUGCUCCCACGGCAAUGCGCGGGUAUUUCUAGAGAUGAAGGACCAGUUUUAUGCAGCCAUACAGACAGUUGCAGUGAUACCUGCCCUUCCUCAAGGUAACAUAAGUCUAACAAAUUACCUACUGCACUGAAAAUCUUCUGUCAUGCAUUUGUGUUGAAGGUACUUUGUCUGGGAGAAAAACUGAGGAAAAGCUCAUGAUACCAUUGCAUAUUUCAUAAGUUUUCUUUUACUUUGUGAGGUAAUUAGUUUUUUUUAGUAAAUUAACUAUUUUAAUCCCACCUUGGCCUUUGCUUUUUCUUUUGUGGGAAGAUUUUAUGUUCUCUGUCCUGCAGACUACUGUUGAUUGGUCUUUUUAGCCCUUAGCGUCUGACUUGUCUUUGGGAGGAACAUGUGACAUGUUGUGUGCAAGUAGCUACUUUUUUGAAGCGAUUAUAUUAGCUAUUUUUUUUUGUUUAGUCAAAACUUGCUCCCUUUGAACAAUAUCAAGUAGGCAUAUUUAAGCUAACAUAAGCUGACAUUGUGGGUUAAUCAUGCUUGGAUAAAGAAUAUCAAGGAUCUCAAAACCCUGAAUAAACUCAUUCUUUCUUGAGACCACGCCAGGAACUCCAUACUGAUUUAUUACCAGAGUCAUGUCUAUUUAUUAUGUCUUUUCGAAAUUUUUAACUUUACUACCUAAGAGCAGUUGAGAACAUCUUACGUUAGUGCUGCUUGAGAAUGGAGUCAUCAUCUUUCUUCUAACUUUACCAAGAUAAUUCCUCAUUAAAUUGGUUUGCUUCACCAAUUAGUAUCGGUUUCUAUUUACUGUCAAUUGUACUAACCAUGGUUGUUACUCUUUCAAAAAGCGUGAUAACCAUUUCUGUCUUGAAUAUCUACAUUUCUAUCAGUAGAGUUGUGUCCUAUUGAUGGCUCGGUCGUUAGGUUCCUCAGUUAUUUUGCUUAAACACGGAAUACCUUCAAACUAGAGCAGCUAAAUGGUGGCUGUUUGUACAAUUAAGUUCAAGCAGCAGUAAUGGUGUUGAUGUGUUGGUCAAAUUAUUAAAGAGUAUUGUAGUGUACAUCCAUAUAGAAUUAAUAUCGUUGACAAUUUGAAUUUUUUAAAAAUUAACAAUGGGUUUUGAUGGACCUGUGCAUUGAAUGUUUUAUACAACCUCCAUCCAUACUAUCAACAAGAGGAAACUCCUUUUGACAUCAUCAAAGGCUGCACGUCAGCGGCAGAUGUGAAUGGUGCUUUCAUACCAAUCUGCCACUACUUUAUGCUUGCAGAGACACAAAUUCGGAUCAGUGUUUUAUUAAUCUAAUUUUUAUAUGCUAUUGUCCCUAUUCUUGAGCUCUUGAAACCCUACGUAACAGUAUGGUUUGGUCUUUUCGUCCCUGUUUGGUGCACCAGCUGCUUGAGGAAACCCCGUGCAAGUGUGAACUCAUUUGCAGUUAUACUGGUUUAUGCAUGAGCUGAUUUGCUUUUGAACACUUCUAUUUGCCAUCUUGAUGUACAUGUUUACAUACGUCCACCUGGCUGUGGAAAGGGUACACAGUCACCGUUGAUUAAGUAUGAAUUUUUCUUGUGCCAUUUAACUGCUGUGGCUGCUAAAACUC